rnacentral:lncRNA from 10 species
UGACCUUUGACAGCCGUCUUCUGGCCUUCUGAGAUAAGGGAACUGUGUCACUGCCGCUCUGAGUGGUAGCAAGGAAGUGAUGUCAAGGUGCUGAGAACUGCCAAGACGCUCUGGCUUGUGGCAUGUGACACUCUGAUGUUCGCAGAAACCCACCCGCUGAUUCAAUACGGGGACCAGGAACCUGCCAUGACAGUCACGGCUUCCCUCUUGUCUGGAGGAAAAAGAAAAAAGAGAACCAGACUUAGACACAACUUCUUGUGGGCACAUAUUCAGAAGGCAUCUCACUGGAGAGGGUUUAGUUCUCCUUAGCAGAAGAUAAGAUUUCAAGAUUUCAGCUAAGACUCAUCUCUCUGCAAAUCUUUCUUUUGAGAGCAUCUUCACCAGGAGGAGAUUCCAUCUCAAGAGACCACUUUCACUGCUCAUAUGUAAGAAGCAACUCUUCAUCUGUUCAAGUUUGAUCAUGAGAGUGCGGCAAUUCAGUCACAACUUCAGGCUCCACUUCUAGUUCUAGUUCUCUUGCUGUUUCCACCACAUCUACAGCGACUUCCUCCACUGAAGACGUGAACCCCUGAAAGUCAUCUAUGGGGGUUGGAAUCAAUGUCUUUCACACUCCUGUUAAUGUUGGUAUUUUGACCUCCUCCCAUGAAUUACAAAUGUUCCUAAUGGCAUCUAGAAUAAUGACUACUUUCCAGAAGCUUUUCAAUUUGCUUUGCUCAGAUCCAUCAAUGGAAUCACUAUCAAUGGUAGCUAUAUAAACUAUAUAAGGCUAUAUAUAUAUAUAUAGCUAUUUCUUAAUAGCCUUAUGAAAUAUAUUUCUUAAUAAGACUUGAAAGUCUUGGUCCAUGGACUGCAGAAUGGAUGUUUGUGUUAGCAGGGAUGAAAACAACAUGAAUAUUCUCGUACAUCUCCAACACAGCUCUUGAUCGACAUGGUGCAGAGCAGUAAUAUUUUGAAAGGAAUCUUUUUUUCUGAGCAAUAGUUCUCAAUAGUGGGCUUGAAAUAUUCAGUAAACCAUGCUGUAAACAGAUGUGUUGUCAUCCAGGCUUUAUUGUUCCAUUUAUGGAGCACAGAUAGAGUAGAUUUCGCAUAAUUCUUAAUGACACCAGGAUUUACAAAAUAGUAAAUGAACAUUUACUUCAACUUAAAGUCAUCAGCUGCAUUCACCUCUAAAAAGAGAGUCAGCCUGUCCUGUGGAGCUUUGCAGCUUGCCUUGACAUCUCCUCUCUAGCUGUGAAAGUCCUGGAUGGCAUCUUCUUCCAACAUAAGACUGUUUUGUCUACACUGAAAAUCUGUUGUUUCGUGUAGACACUUUCAUCAAUUAUCUUAUCUAGAUUUUCUGGAUAACUUGCCACAGCUUCUCCCUUUGCACUUGCUGCUUCAUCUUGCAUUUUUAUGUUAUGGAGAUGUUGUCUUU